CAUAUAUACUCAAAAAAAUAUAUAUGAUAUAUCUGCAUAUAUCUCCAAAGCCGGCCCCUUUCUCUCGCGAUCUAUACCCGAUCUGCAAAUUCCCUUUCUCUCAAAUUUCCAAGCCUGACCCAUGCCUCUUUCUCUCCAAGCCCAACCCUUCUACCGAAGCCACUGAUUUCCGAAAUCUCCACCAUUGAGGAGCAGCGGAGGGUUGAAUCGAUGGUCAGCGUAGCAUUAGAAAGAAGAUAGCGGCACAGCUGAUUGAAAAGUUCCCUGAGUUUUAGGGUGCGCAGUGCCCCUGUAAAGUCCACCACAGAUGGGCGUCGAGAUUGAACAAGGAUUCGCCCCUUUCUCCAAGCCCUAACCCUAGCUCCCUCUCUCAUUCGAAGUCCUAACCCCUCCCACCUAUUCGAAGGACACUUUGGCAUCAAACCGAAGACCCAAUUUAUCGUGUGUGCAUCGAUAAAUUUUUAGGUUUGUAUUUUCGUCCCCUGUAAAUUGUUAUCUUCAGCAAAUUGAUACUCAAAUAGGUAUGGCAUGACUUUAGUUUAUUCAAUUAGGGUUUCUUAUAAAUUCCAUGACUUAAUUUGUACUGAGUAAACCUUUUUUUUUUUUUCGCAAUGCCUAUAUUGAUUCUUUCUAUAGAAAUUAUAGUUUCAAUUUUUUUUUUUUUGGUUUCGAUUUUGGAAUAAAAUCCAGCAGCAUUUCAGCAAAUCUAGACUGUGUAUAGUUAUUAUAUAUCCAUUGUCCUAGAACAAUCAAGUGACCGUAAAAUUUCUGGUUAAGAAAUAAAUGUGCCUAAGCAGUGGAACUGUUAACUUUUAUCAUCUGCCGGAAGUGUAAUUUUUGUCUGAUGUGGGUGCAUUAGACUUGUUAGUUGUCACCUUAUUGAUGUCUUCUCAUCCAUUUUCAGUCGGCUUUUUUUCUUUGUACUUUUAGCCCUUUUGCUUUCAUAUUUUUUAUAUGAUUAUUUGUAAGCUAAAAAUACUUGUAUCAGAAACUAGGAUGUGGAUUUUGGUUAAUUCUCAUCUAAAAUAAUGUUGUGACCCUGUUUUUCUCAUUGCGAGAUGAAAUUUGGGAGCUACGGCUUAUGACGUCGUGAACAUAAGGAAAAAAUGAAACACGCUUUAGUGAAGAAGAUGAAGGACCUGCUACAUGUGGCUCAGGCUUACUUUCCUAGUAUUGCAAAGCUUGCAGCACAUGACAAGCUAUCACGUGAAAUGAAGCAAAAUAUUCAGGAGUUUGAACGUAUUCUCGGUGAAGCUACAACAGAUAAAGAUUUCCCACCACAGUAAGUGAUAAGUUAUGUUUGGCCUAAUUAAGAUGACGACAAGAGGCGUUAAUCACUCUCAAUUGGUAUAUUCAUAUAAUCUAGAAUCAAAUAUCUCAAUUAAACCACCAACUAGUUCCAGUAUAUACUUUCCUAUUUGGGUCUAUAUUCAAAUUAAUCAAAUAUAUAUAUAUAUAUGCUAAUCCAAAUACUAUCUCGAUGAUGACUUUAUGAUUUUCUAAUAUCCAUCCAUAGUCCUGAGCAAAAAGAAUUUUAAAUGCUUCCUCUGGUGCAGCAAAGUGCUUGCUAAUUGCCUGUGGUUCUGCUUGCUAAGUUCAAAUAUCACAUUUCUUUAUGCAUAUGUUUGUUUAGUUGAAUGUAAUUUCCGAACUUUAAUCCAAUACAAAUGUUUUUAUUAUAGCCUUUUCAUAAUGGGGACCAUCAACAAAUUCUUUCACUACAUAGGUCAUGUUGUAUUGUAUAAUUAGCUGUACUGCCUAUGCAUGUUUCUUUUAUGUGGCCUAGGUUUUCCUGGUGCAUUCAUAACAUGGUCCAUUGGCAAGUUUUUUGACUCAGCAAUUCUUUCUUUCAUUCAUUGAAUAUAUUGUAACAUAUGUAGUCUUACUGCUUGAGGCCUGCCUUUGUCUGAAUUUAUGAUUCUGGUACAUAAAUGUAUAGCAUAUACCAUGUGCUUGCCAAACAUGACUUUACUGAAGAAAAUUAUAGUGAUAAAAACAAGAAGAAAAAAAUGCAGUUAAAUGUCAACAAGAACAUUAAAUUUUAGUGGGACAUCCAAACAUGCCUUUACUAUAUGUAUCAACGAUUAUCAACAAGUAAGAUAUAUAAAAGCCACCUCUGCUGGACCAGUCUUGGAUGGCUCAGGAUCUUCGAGGAGCUCUGUGCCAUCAACAAUUAUCAAUGAGUCUCCAUCGGAAAAUGAAAGCUAGCUGCAUGUGAAAACUGAGGUCAAAGCUAGGAUUACGGUUGCCGUUACUUUUUUUGUUGCCGCUAUAUUUUUUGUAUGGCUCAUGAAGAAGUUGCAUAUAUGGAAGAGAGAGACUUUACAGAGCAUGAAGAUAUGAAGAAUUUUUGUUUUCUUUUGGUUAAGUAAGAUGCAAGUGAUUAACUGUAGCGGGUACAACAAAUGCACCCACUUGAUUCCCUUUUCAGAGCAACUAUAAACAGAACACUCGUACUUGUUCUAGGGCUAGAAGCUUGACUCACAGCACGCGGCGACUCCACUACAGCGAGGCGAUUCGUGGUGAGCUCCUCUCAAUCUGAGUUGGUUCGUGGUGAGCUCCUCUCAAUCUGAGUUGGUUCGUGGUGAGCUCCUCUCAAUCUGAGUUGGUUUCAAGUCUAACACUUGUUCUUUAAUCUGUCUCUAAAAUUUCGAAGAUUUGGCCAUAUUCAAACUCAAAUCGACGACUGGAACUCAAAUCUGCAGAGCUCUGUGUUCAUCGCCUCUCUCUCCACUCUCAGAAUCUGUUGACUAUUUUUCCGGUCGAUUUAGGGCAAUGACAAACGCCAGCUGCCGUCUACAACUUCUACCUACCUCAAAUCUUCUUCUCCGGUGAUCUACAAUUUCAGAUUUGAAGAUGGAAGAGAAGGAUCCAUUUUUAGGGACUAUUGUUUGCUGGAAAUUAUUCACACACACUCUCUCUCUCUCUCAAGAAUCCCAUUGAUUCAUAGAUGAGCUCAGACUUAGCUUUUUACAGCCAAUUGAAAAGGACCUUUUGGCUCUCUGAUCUUAUUUGACUAUUUCUAUUCCUCCUUCUAUAUCAGAUCUCUUUAGGUAGACAUUUUGCAUCUCAUCUUUGCCUUCUCAGUUUUGUUUACCUUUGAUCCAUACAAUAUGAGGCUAAAAAUUGAGCAAUUGUCACAACAUUUGGUCCCUCAAUCUUUUUCAUCUCCAAUACCCAUAUCUCUGGCUACCUCGCCAUCUUUUGUAAGACCAAAUACCAAGGCUAUGUAAAUUUGUUCUUUUUGGCACUAGCACAUCGACACGGCUCUCCACCCCUCCAUCUUUUAACAAAUUGGUCUCAAGAGGGCAGAGUCUGAAACGAGCUUGCAGUGCAGAUUUUGAUGAGUUCUGUGACGAAGAUUUAUUAGAACAAAUGUUUGAUUUGUUUUUGUUUGUGUUAAUAUGAAUUUUUCCUAA